CACUCUCUCUCUCUCUCUCUCUCUCUCAAAAAUAACUAAACAUUUAAAAGAGGCAUUUAGAAAACUGGCAUCUGGCAUGGACUGCUUCUGGGUGUCUGCAUGUCCCUAAAUGUCUGACCUUUAGUAUUUGCCUAAAUACCACUCCUUCCUACACAUACAAACAAUGAACUGUUACCGCCUUGCUUGGCUUUCUCUUAGCCUAAAACUUGUUAGUCUGGGGUCCUUUGGCUCCUUCGGAUAUUUUAGAAGAGCUGGGAUCCAUGUGCCCCUGAAAUGUUAUGCAAACUUUUGUGUGAUAUAUGUGUAUGUGCCCUUUUUUUUUUUUAAUUGGGGAGAAAUUGUCCAUGGCUUUUAUCUGAUGUUCUAUCCACAGUCUGAUUCUGUCUUCUUUAUUCCACCUAGACUUUUAAUUGCUGGUUCUUUCGCUCAGAAGAUGACCUUGCCUCCUCUUUUUGGAAUGCAGGAAUCCAUAGAAUUACCCAUGGACUGUCUUUUCACAAAACCAGUAUUUCUGGCCCCCAGGGUAUGGUCCAGUUCAACUUUCCAAAUACAUACAUAGACAGGUCAGAUCAGUCAAGCAGAGAAAAGACUGGAAGAUAGGACAAAAUCCCUUUUUACUAGCCGUUGGGAGCUGGAAUUGAAAUUACCAUCCCUCUGUGUUGAAGAAGUCCUAAGGCUGCUAUUUCUACUGGACUUGGGGCAAAAGAUGUUGUCGGGGUCUUGCCUUUGACAUGGAUUCCAGCUACAUGCUCCUCAAAGGUAAGGGCUGUAUUAUUCACCUUUUCUUGUAUUCACCCUUACAGCUGUGCAAGUCAGCCAGUGUUCAAUAAAGAAAUAUCAUACCUAAGAAUAAAAUGGCAUUGUCCUUCAUUUCCCCCCGAAACCAGUAGGUGUCGCCUUCAUCGCAGAGAAAGUAGGCCCCUCCUCUCUCCCUGCACACCUACACCCCUCCCUCUACUCUAGGAGCGCUCAGCUUCUAGGCACGGUGAUUUCUGGAGAAGAGGCUUGAAGGGGGAGAGAAACUGUGGCUCUCUGAAGGAGAAUGGGUUUAUAUGUAUCUCCUUUAUGAUAGAAAGAAGAGAGAAACUCCCCAGGGUCCCAUAGCAGUCCCCUCCCAGCAACCAUGGUAUCAUCCCUCUUAAACUAUUCUCAGGAUCAGAUUGGCACGCCAGAUACAGAGUAUCUGGGGAUAGCCUUCUAGGCUGGAGGCUUAGGAGCAGGGUGGAACCCAAGGGGGAUACAAUGGGCUUGCAUUGCUGGGGGAAUGUUCUGCUCAGUCAGUCCAUGAGCUGUUAUCAGGUGCAAUCCUGGGCUGUGCAGGGAGACAGAAGAGAAGAGGCUGUUCCUGGGCUGGGUCCCUGGAGCAGAUGGUGUGGUAGAGGCCCAGUGGGCUAUGGUGGGCCUCUGAAGACAUGGGAGGGCACA